rnacentral:pre_miRNA from 1 species
GCUUGUGGAUGAGCAAAGAAAGUGGUUCCUUGAGAUAGACUCUGCUCCUGGAGAAGAUGCUGAGGA